rnacentral:lncRNA from 1 species
GCCACCGGAGGAACCGGUCACCACCACCCGUCAUCGCACCGGAGGAUUUUCCGGCUGCCAAAAGAGGUAAAAUUUCUCCCAUUGGGUUGUUUUUCGAUGUUGAACUUCCCUGUGGCCAAAUUGGAGCCAAACCACCGGCCAAUUGGCCGGAGAACGUCGCCGAAGUCCAGCAGUGCUGCCACAGGUUUCCUCAGUUUUUGCCUCCAAUGAGGCCAUUCUCGGUUCCCGUUCGAUGUAAUUUUUAUACCACUGUGACCACCGUCCUUUUCUCUACAGGUUGACCGGAGCAAAAUACCAAAUCGCAACUCGCGCUGGAGGAGCCGCCGCACCCGAGAGCUUCGCCGCCGGUAAAUCUCAGUUAUCUAGAAUUUUUUGGCCCACUGAGGGCUCUAGGGGUGUUUUAUCACAGGAACUAAUGCAAGUUUGGCCAAAUUCAGCCGAAAACGGCCAGAAACGGCCAACUCGAGGCGGAUCGCCGCCAUGGGCGGCGGCGCCAUCGCUGGAGCAUGUCGAAGCCGCCGUGGGCGGUGGUGCCGUCACUGGAGCACAUCG